rnacentral:rRNA from 1 species
UACGUAGGGGGCAAGCGUUGUCCGGAUUUAUUGGGCGUAAAGCGCGUGUAGGCGGCCAGGUAGGUCGGUUGUGAAAACUGGAGGCUCAACCUUCAGAGGUCGACCGAAACCAUCUGGCUAGGGUCCGGGAGAGGAGAGUGGAAUUCCUGGUGUAGCGGUGAAAUGCGUAGAUAUCAGAAGGAACACCCAUGGCGAAGGCAGCUCGCUGGCCUACAACUGACGCUGAGGCGCGAAAGCGUGGGGAGCAAACAGG